GAUGAACGCUGGCGGCGUGCCUAAUACAUGCAAGUCGAGCGAACAGACGAGGAGCUUGCUCCUCUGACGUUAGCGGCGGACGGGUGAGUAACACGUGGAUAACCUACCUAUAAGACUGGGAUAACUUCGGGAAACCGGAGCUAAUACCGGAUAAUAUAUUGAACCGCAUGGUUCAAUAGUGAAAGACGGUUUUGCUGUCACUUAUAGAUGGAUCCGCGCCGCAUUAGCUAGUUGGUAAGGUAACGGCUUACCAAGGCAACGAUGCGUAGCCGACCUGAGAGGGUGAUCGCCCACACUGGAACUGAGCCACGGUCCAGACUCCUACGGGAGGCAGCAGUAGGGAAUCUUCCGCAGUGGGCGAAAGCCUGACGGAGCAACGCCGCGUGAGUGAUGAAGGUCUUCGGAUCGUAAAACUCUGUUAUUAGGGAAGAACAAAUGUGUAAGUAACUAUGCACGUCUUGACGGUACCUAAUCAGAAAGCCACGGCUAACUACGUG
rnacentral:rRNA from 1 species